rnacentral:rRNA from 1 species
UACAGAGGGGGCAAGCGUUGUUCGGAAUUACUGGGCGUAAAGGGCGCGUAGGCGGCCUUCUAAGUCGAACGUGAAAUCCCUGGGCUCAACCCAGGAACUGCGUCCGAUACUGGAAGGCUUGAAUCCGGGAGAGGGAUGCGGAAUUCCAGGUGUAGCGGUGAAAUGCGUAGAUAUCAGGAAGAACACCGGUGGCGAAAGCGCUCUGCUAGGCCGCAACUGACACUGAGGGACGAAAGCUAGGGGAGCGAAUGGG